GAUGAACGCUGACAGAAUGCUUAACACAUGCAAGUCAACUUGAACUUCGGUUUGGGUGGCGGACGGGUGAGUAACGCGUAAAGAACUUGCCUCACAGUUAGGGACAACAUUUGGAAACGAAUGCUAAUACCUGAUAUUAUGAUUUUAGGGCAUCCUAGAAUUAUGAAAGCUAUAUGCGCUGUGAGAGAGCUUUGCGUCCCAUUAGCUAGUUGGAGAGGUAACGGCUCACCAAGGCGAUGAUGGGUAGCCGGCCUGAGAGGGUGAACGGCCACAAGGGGACUGAGACACGGCCCUUACUCCUACGGGAGGCAGCAGUGGGGAAUAUUGGACAAUGGACCAAGAGUCUGAUCCAGCAAUUCUGUGUGCACGAUGAAGUUUUUCGGAAUGUAAAGUGCUUUCAGUUGGGAAGAAAAAAAUGACGAUACCAACAGAAGAAGUGACGGCUAAAUACGU
rnacentral:rRNA from 1 species